rnacentral:lncRNA from 1 species
GAGAUGGAGAAUGAGAAAGGGAAAUGGGUAGAGAAAGAGAAAAAAGAGAACCAAGGAUGGAUUAAUGGUUACCUACUCCGACGGUGAGUCAGGUUGGCAUUGACUCGAAUCUCUUCUCAUCUCAUUUUUCUUGCAAGAAUUUGGUUCCUACCUUAAGUUUUUAAGGUGAUGAUCAUGAUGAUUAACAGGCUGUGAUAGGAGUUUUUAAGGUGACAAAGAAAAAGGCAAUCAGUUG